CGGGCCAGCCUGCACUCUUCCUGGGCUUUCUGCGCUGCCGUUGUCGCGGCAUCGGCUUUCCCUCUCGCGUGAGCUGUCCUGUGGAUGUAGCGGUCCGGGCCAAGGCGGUUAAGAUGUAGAGAGAAAGACUGGAUAUUUAAGCAGUGUUUUUGCAAACUCCCAUUCUGGAUCUCUUCUGACUUAAAGUGUCACAUUCUGCCACGGAUGGAUUAUUCAUGCGAUUCGACCACACAAACGGCAGGAUCACAUUCACACAUCCACAACCUACAGUACAACUACACCAUCAAUUAAAAAAGAUGGAUCUUCUAGUCACCUUAAAGGGCAUUUAUAAUGGUCACAUAGCAAACUCCAAGAAAUGAUCCAUUCAGGGUAAACAUUUUCAGGACAUUCAGUAUCAUGUUAGUUCAUUGGAACACAUUUCUGUUUUGGUGUCAGUGAAGGAGCAUUUGUUCUGAUGAGACUGUGGUGUUACCUAAAACAACAAAGGUUGGAAAACACUGCUCUAGACAACAUCAACAAACCGACAUGGCAGACAACAAGGUGAAAAAUGCUUCAGUUUUUCAAUUAGCAUUCAAUAUUCAACAAAACUGUAUGCGGUUAUUAAAAAAAAAACACACAAGCACGCACGCACAGAGACACGCCUUAACAGCUUCAGGCAAUUUAUGACUAUGGCAUUCCACAUGUCCAUGUUAUUGAUUGUGCUACUGUUGCUCUGCAUCAAUAAAGACAUCAGUCAGCCUGCUGAUACACCCAGAAUCUACAUGACUCUCAUUAAGUGAAUCCGGACUUAUGUAUUCUCUCUCCUCGCUGACACCGACACAAAUCAUUCACGUUUCCUUAGCAACCACACCACAUAGCAGCACCAGCAAGGCCUAUUUAACAGGUCCCAAGCAACCGCUAGAAAUAUGGCUUUGCAUUCGGAUGCUGUGUAAAGAAAGCGAGAGGAUACAUGUUGUAGAACGAUACACAAAUGUCAAUAAACACUUGUGUAGUCCAAGCAGAUGUUUGUUUGAGUGUACGUGCUAAUGGUAAGAGAUACACUGUGCACUUUAAGACUCCAUUAAUUCAAGAAGAGUUUUGGUUACUUUUAGUCCAUGUCUGUUAGGUCUGAAGCCAUAUUUUUGCUAGCGUACUCCAAAUUGAGUUGACAAAAUGAGAUUUUAGCCAUAUACUCAUUUCAUGUUUACAGUAUUUCUCUACCAGGAAAAUGGGAUGAAAAUAUUGAUGACUCAUCCUGCCCUACACAGAUUUUGUCCAAUCAAAUGCUUUCUACGUUGAGAAUGACCCUUCCACUUAAUAUUAACAUAUAUUUCGGUUUACCCUAGCCUACGUGCAGUGUGCGUGACAUAAAUUUAACCAUCAGCAUAUGCGCGAAUUCUACCUGCCCUUGCAAAUACACCUUGAUUUUUUUGUUUUGUUUUUUUUUUGUUUAUGCAAUAAUUUGUUGGUCCAUAAGGUGGCAACACUGGCCUGACCGUCGUUUCAGUCAAAAAAACCCAAAACAAUUUUUUUUUUUUUACCACCCGUAACCAACUAGCAGGUACAUAGGUUCAUUGGUUUGAUGUAACUAAAGCUUAAUGGCUUUUUUUUUUUUUUUUUUUUUACUUAUAUUUAUGGGCUUUUUGUGCCUUUAUUCGGAGAGGACAGUAGAGAGCAGACAGGAAAGCAUUGGGUGGAGAGAGGGGGGCAGGAUCGGCAAAGGACCUCGAGACAGGACGAACUUGGGUCGCUGUGAACGCAUUUGCGCCAUAUGUCGGCACACUAACCACUAGGCUAUUGGCACCGACUUAAUGGCUAUUUUUUUUAAGGGCCCUAUAGGAUGUCCUGUCCAAACUUUCUGUUUCAAUAAGAAAUUUGUCAAUGCAUAUGAUUUUGUUACGUCAUGACCGUGAACCCAAGUAAUUGGUAGUCUGUGUAGUGCAAAAUGAGUCAACAUUUUUGGUGCAUUCGAAAAAUUUUCUUAAGGCUAAUUUUGUCAAAAAUAGGACUUUUCACACUUUAAAUAGUUAACCCUGGGUUAUUCUAAACCCCGGGUGAAUGGAAUCCUGGGUUAUCUUGCUUCAUGUUUCACACUACUCAUAAUUUACUUGGGGUUAACAAUUAAUCCCGAGUAUUCAUAAACUGACAUUUCACAUUGUACAUUCUUAACCCUGGGUUAAUAUUCCUAUUUGCAUAUUUGCGCUGUCAGUGUCAUUGAUUGGAUGAACCCAGCAUGCCAUCUGUUUACAUAAAAGCUCUAGCAUUGCGCAUCCUCAGAUUGCCGACUGUACUAUCGCGUUUAUACUGAAUGGACAUUUCGGACUUUAAAGGUAAGAAUGAAACGAUCUCUUCUUCACUCAAAUUGUCGCAUUUUCUCUCAGCAUUUGAUUGUUUAUAUACGAUGCGAGGUGUUUCCAUGACUGUCCAAAGCACGUGAAUAUCAGGCACACGAUUUGUUGUCUGUUGCUAAGCGUGAACCCUUCUCUGGAGCAGGGUUUCAUAACCCUGGGUAAAAAGUGGUGCUAACCCCACUUCUAAAUUACAAGUGUGUAACAUUCCUUUACCCAGGGUUUAAAGAGGUGUUUAGAACGAAGAUAACCCGGGGAUAAGUGCAGUAUGAAAAGCCCUUAUUCGGAGUACAUUAGCAUAUGAUUGCACAAACAUUUGUGUAAUGCAAACUGUGCUUGUCUAGUUGGUUUUUGAACCAUUUAGAGGCCAAUAUAUUAAGUUUAAAUCGUUUUCACCCAAAAAUGAGGAUAUUGCUUUGGUUCUCUUUGAGAAUGUAUGUUAGCGUUAGGUCGGUUAAGUGCUUUUUAAGGUCAACAAGCAGCAAGCAAAGACAUUCAACAUGAGACCCUGUG